GUUGUUGCAAGAUGGGUCCAAUUAAGGGGCAUUGAUCUUCUGACACGGGUGCCCUUUUGGUCUAGUGUAGAACUGGCUGGUUCUACCCAAGGCUUCGGUACCAUAUUUGUGGUCACAGAUGUUGGUGUCUUCGCAAUGGAGCUCGAGUCAGGCGAUGUGAGGAAGGUAGGAAAGCCUAGGAAACACUUGACCAUCUUCCCCUUCAUGAGCUUCUUCACUCCAGAUUAUGCUAGCAGUGUAUUGCCAUCAUCAGCGGAGGCACACUAAUCACUAUUGAGCAAGCCCAAGUAUAUUAGCCCCAAGGUGUCAAGCUGAGUCUGCUGCUGUUGGCAUAUGGCAGGGUUGAUGCUUCCAAAUGUCUAGUCUUCUGUUGGGUAUAGUUUGAUCUAUUAAAGUGUCCAUGGCAAGUUAUGGGACCUUUGGUUGUUCUUCUUUAGUUGGUUAUGAUCAUGAGUUCAUGACUGUCAAGACUAUAUUUCAAGUUUACUGUCAAUCUUGUUUCAGUUCUGCUGAAAUCAUUACUUUUGUUAGGGUCAUAUGAUGCUUGACAACUCCACCAAAACUGAUGAUACAUUUUGCUUCUUUUUCACUUCUGGAAUGUGGAUAACAGUUUCAGGAUUUUCAGGAAUAUGUUUGGAACACUAGUCAGUUCAAUGAUUCAAUCGCAUACUGUUUUAAGCUGAC